rnacentral:rRNA from 1 species
AUUGAACGCUGGCGGCAGGCCUAACACAUGCAAGUCGAACGAGUGGCGGACGGGUGAGUAAUGUCUGGUAAACUGCCCGAUGGGGGGGGAUCACUGCUGGAAGCGGUAGAUAAUACCGCAUAACAUCGGAUGUGACCAGAUGGGAUUAGCUAGUAGGUGGGGUAACGGCUCACCUAGGCGACGAUCCCUAGCUGGUAUGAGAGGAUGACCAGCCACACUGGAACUGAGACACGGUCCAGCCUCCUACGGUAGGCAGCAGUGGGGAAUAUUGCACAAUGGGCGCAAGCCUGAUGCAGCCAUGCCGCGUGUAUGAAGAAGGCCUUCGGGUUGUAAAGUACUUUCAGCGAGGAGGCGUUACUCGCAGAAGAAGCACCGGCUAACUCCGUGCCAGCAGCCGCGGUAAUAC